rnacentral:rRNA from 1 species
GACGAACGCUGGCGGCGUGCUUAACACAUGCAAGUCGAACGGAAAGGCCCUGCUUUUGUGUGGUGCUCGAGUGGCGAACGGGUGAGUAACAAGUGAGUAACCUGCCCUUGACUUUGGGAUAACUUCAGGAAACUGGGGCUAAUACCUGAUAGGAGCUCCUGCUGCAUGGUGGGGGUUGGAAAGUUUCGGCGGUUGGGGAUGGACUCGCGGCUUAUCAGCUUGUUGGUGGGGUAGUGGCUUACCAAGGCUUUGACGGGUAGCCGGCCUGAGAGGGUGACCGGGCACAUUGGGCCUGAGAUACGGCCCAGACUCCUACUGGAGGCAGCAGUGGGGAAUAGUGCACAAUGGGCGGAAGCCUGAUGCAGCAACGCCGCGUGCGGGAUGACGGCCUUCGGGUUGUAAACCGCUUUCGCCUGUGACGAAGCGUGAGUGACGGUAAUGGGUAAAGAAGCACCGGCUAACUACGUG